rnacentral:lncRNA from 1 species
AAUGGCUCCAGACUGUUCCAUCUUUCUGCUCUGCCUAUGUAAGCGCAGGUUGUCAGUGGACAAGCUCCAGACUGCAGAUGAUAAAGACUGGGACUAGGCUUCUGCCUCUAUGACUCUCAGGGAAUGCUGCUGGAAGCAGGCACAUGAGAUUGCUGCUUCCAUUGAAGAGUUCCAAGGACUCUUCCAGCUGCAACUGAAGCAGGGGGCUUUGUCUUCAGACUUGAAAGCUAUGUGCUUAGGUGAAGAUAGGAAUUCUUUCAACAUGACAGAAGGGGCUGAGGAGCAGCCAAGUGCUAGCUUAGCAUCCUGGAGGUCCAGGGUUCUAUAGUUGGGGAAAAGUCACAGCGAGGAGCACAGAAUAGGGACUCAGCAAAUGUCACAUAGACUGAGUUAAGCUUACUUGUCCUUAGAGAGUUUCUGAGAGAGCUUCACAGGGAAUAUUAGUAAGCUAUGAGCCAGCAGGGGACUGUCACACAAAGAGUAGAAAAAGGAGGAUCAGGAGCUGAAGUCCAUCAUGAGAUUUCUGUUUCAAUACCACCAACACUGAACACAAACAAGCAACCAAACAAAAACUAAAACCAAACCACUGGAAAUUUUCUCUGGCUUGGGAAGAACAACUUAGGUGGAGAGGGUCAAAUAAGGUCAAAGGACUUUUGCUUUCCAAAUUUGCUGAUUCUUUAAGCCAUCGUUCUCGUCUUCAAAUACUACUGAGACUGGUGCCAUUAAGU